UACGUAGGGUGCGAGCGUUAAUCGGAAUUACUGGGCGUAAAGCGUGCGCAGGCGGUUUUGUAAGUCAGAUGUGAAAUCCCCGGGCUCAACCUGGGAAUGGCAAUGGAUACUGGCAAGCUAGAGUGUGUCAGAGGAUGGUGGAAUUCCCGGUGUAGCGGUGAAAUGCGUAGAGAUCGGGAGGAACAUCAGUGGCGAAGGCGGCCAUCUGGGACAACACUGACGCUGAGGCACGAAAGCGUGGGGAGCAAACAGG
rnacentral:rRNA from 1 species